rnacentral:tRNA from 1 species
GGGGUUGUGACUCAGUGGUAGAGCACUUGCCUGGCAUGCAUGGAGGCUCUGGGUUCAGCCCCCAGCACCA